rnacentral:rRNA from 1 species
UCGGGUGACGAGCGGCGGACGGGUGAGUAAUGUCUGGGAAACUGCCCGAUGGAGGGGGAUAACUACUGGAAACGGUAGCUAAUACCGCAUAACGUCGCAAGAGCAAAGCGGGGGACCUUCGGGCCUCAUGCCAUCAGAUGUGCCCAGAUGGGAUUAGCUAGUGGGUGGGGUAAUGGCUCACCCAGGCGACGAUCCCUAGCUGGUCUGAGAGGAUGACCAGCCACACUGGAACUGAGACACGGUCCAGACUCCUACGGGAGGCAGCAGUGGGGAAUAUUGCACAAUGGGCGCAAGCCUGAUGCAGCCAUGCCGCGUGUAUGAAGAAGGCCUUCGGGUUGUAAAGCACUUUCAGCGAGGAGGAAGGC